rnacentral:lncRNA from 1 species
AUCAAGACUGCUAGCACGGACCAGAGAUAAUUACUGUCUCUGAGCGUCGCUGAGAGAGAGAGAGGAUUAGGCUGUGGUGAGAGAGACUACUGUCUCUGAGAGUGGCUGAGAGAGAGAGAGAGAGAGAGAGAGAGAGGAUUAGGCUGUGGUGAGAGAGACUACUGUCUCUGAGCGUGGCUGAGAGAGAGAGAGAGAGAGAGAGAGAGAGAGAGAGAGAGAGGAUUAGGCUGUGGUGAGAGAGACUACUGUCUCUGAGCGUGGCUGAGAGAGAGAGAGAGAGAGAGAGAGAGAGAGGACUAGGCUGUGGUGAGAGAGACUACUGUCUCUGAGCGUGGCUGAGAGAGAGAGAGAGAGAGAGAGAGAGAGUGGGAGAGAGAGGACUAGGCUGUGGUGAGAGAGACUACUGUCUCUGAGCGUGGCUGAGAGAGAGAGAGAGAGAGAGAGAGAGAGAGAGAGAGAGAAAGAGAGAGAGAGGACUAGGCUGUGGUGAGAGAGACUACUGUCUCUGAGCGUGGCUGAGAGAGAGAGAGAGAGAGAGAGAGAGAGAGAGAGAGGACUAGGCUGUGGUGAGAGAGACUACUGUCUCUGAGCGUGGCUGAGAGAGAGAGAGAGAGAAAGUGGGAGAGAGAGGACUAGGCUGUGGUGAGAGAGACUACUGUCUCUGAGCGUGGCUGAGAGAGAGAGAGAGAGAGAGAGAGAGAGAGAGAGAGGACUAGGCUGUGGUGAGAGAGACUACUGUCUCUGAGCGUGGCUGAGAGAGAGAGAGAGAGAGAGAGAGAGAGAGAGAGAGGACUAGGCUGUGGUGAGAGAGACUACUGUCUCUGAGCGUGGCUGAGAGAGAGAGAGAGAGAGAGAGAGAGGACUAGGCUGUGGUGAGAGAGACUACUGUCUCUGAGCGUGGCUGAGAGAGAGAGAGAGAGAGAGAGAGAGAGAGAGAGAGAGAGAGAGAGAGGACUAGGCUGUGGUGAGAGAGACUACUGUCUCUAGGCUUUAUAACCGAGCCACCACGACCAAAACAAAAUGUCGUCUCUGUCUCUGACACAGUGUGUCAUCAGGGAAGUAAACACCUCGUUAUAUAUAUAGAAAACAAAACAAACGCCAAAUGGGGAUUUUAUUUUCGUAUAUUGUACCGUCUCUGUUUAGUCGUAUGUUUACUACAUAAAAAUAAUACAUAUUGAUGCAUUAAAUGCACCUCUGAGAUUAUGUAUAUAUUUCCUAAUAUUAGGCCUAUUAAUAUUUAUUGCUCUGAAAGAAACAAAGCAGAUUUUAUUUUGAAGUCAAAUAUAGAAACAUCUGGUACUACCCCUCCUCUCAGGUCCAUGAGAAGAACAGAACUACCCCUCCUCUCAGGUCCAUGAGAACAGAACUACCCCUCCUCUCAGGUCCAUGAGAACAGAACUACCCCUCCUCUCAGGUCCAUGAGAACAGAACUACCCCUCCUCUCAGGUCCAUGAGAAGAACAGAACUACCCCUCCUCUCAGGUCCAUGAGAAGAACAGAACUACCCCUCCUCCUCUCAGGUCCAUGAGAACAGAACUACCCCUCCUCUCAGGUCCAUGAGAACAGAACUACCCCUCCUCUCAGGUCCAUGAGAACAGAACUACCCCUCCUCUCAGGUCCAUGAGAAGAACAGAACUACCCCUCCUCUCAGGUCCAUGAGAACAGAACUACCCCUCCUCUCAGGUCCAUGAGAAGAACAGAACUACCCCUCCUCUCAGGUCCAUGAGAACAGAACUACUCCUCCUCUCAGGUCCAUGAGAACAGAACUACCCCUCCUCUCAGGUCCAUGAGAACAGAACUACCCCUCCUCUCAGGUCCAUGAGAAGAACAGAACUACCCCUCCUCUCAGGUCCAUGAGAACAGAACUACCCCUCCUCCUCUCAGGUCCAUGAGAAGAACAGAACUACCCCUCCUCUCAGGUCCAUGAGAACUGAACUACCCCUCCUCUCAGGUCCAUGAGAAGAACAGAACUACCCCUCCUCUCAGGUCCAUGAGAAGAACAGAACUACCCCUCCUCUCAGGUCCAUGAGAACAGAACUACCCCUCCUCUCAGGUCCAUGAGAAGAACAGGAGACAGAAAGAGACAGACUGGGAACAUUACAUGUCCAGGCUUUGACUGACAGAGGACUGGAAGGGACCCGUUGGGACUAACUCGUUAUCAUGCUAUUGAAGGACAACAACAGCCUUGACUGCCACCAAUAAAUAUAACAAUAUUUUUUAUUUAUUUAUAAUAAACUUUUGAAAUAAUUAUAUACACAUCCGGCAACAUUGGAGUACCAGAUGAGGACCGGGGAAGAGACAGAACCAGAACCAGAACCAGGAGACAAUAACAGAAGGACGUCGCGCCCCAAACCCACACCGAGACAAAGAGGCAGCCCAGAAUCCCCACGUCAGGACAUGCCAAGAAGGCUCCUCUCGACCUGGACAGACAAGACAACCAUGUAUUCUGCAACAGCAGUAUUGGAUCAGGACAGACAGACAGACGGACGGCCUAAGGAUCUGCCCCGACCACCACCCUUCUGAUCAGGACAGACAGACAGACGGACGGCCCAAGGAUCUGAUCAGGACAGACAGACAGACGGCCUAAGGAUCUGCCCCAACCACCACCCUUCUGAUCAGGACAGACAGACAGACGGACGGCCCAAGGAUCUGAUCAGGACAGACAGACAGACGGCCUAAGGAUCUGAUCAGGACAGACAGACAGAUGGCUGUCCCAACCACCACCCUUCUGGAAACCUGUGCCUUUAACCAACUCCAUCACAUCCAUUUUGCUUUUGUUUUCUGAUUGUUGUCCAAUUUUGGGUUGGAGCUCUGCUACUGGAUGCAUCUCCCGUACUGUCCUGCCCUCUAGUGGACAACUGGAUACAUCUUCCGUACUGUCCUGCCCUCUAGUGGACAACUGGAUACAUCUUCCGUACUGUCCUGCCCCCUGGUGGACAAGAGAAUACAUCUCCCGUACUGUCCUGCCCUCUAGUGGACAACAGGAUACAUCUCCCGUACUGUCCUGCCCCCUAGUGGACAACUGGAUACAUCUCCCGUACUGUCCUGCCCC